AGGUCAAGGUUGUGAUGCGCCCUCCCAU
rnacentral:piRNA from 1 species